rnacentral:rRNA from 1 species
AGAGUUUGAUCCUGGCUCAGGAUGAACGCUGGCGGCGUGCUUAACACAUGCAAGUCGAGCGAAGCAGUUAAGAAGAUUCCUCGGAUGAUUCUUGACUGACUGAGCGGCGGACGGGUGAGUAACGCGUGGGUGACCUGCCCCAUACCGGGGGAUAACAGCUGGAAACGGCUGCUAAUACCGCAUAAGCGCACAGAGCUGCAUGGCUCGGUGUGAAAAACUCCGGUGGUAUGGGAUGGGCCCGCGUCUGAUUAGGCAGUUGGCGGGGUAACGGCCCACCAAACCGACGAUCAGUAGCCGGCCUGAGAGGGCGACCGGCCACAUUGGGACUGAGACACGGCCCAAACUCCUACGGGAGGCAGCAGUGGGGAAUAUUGCACAAUGGGGGAAACCCUGAUGCAGCGACGCCGCGUGAGCGAAGAAGUAUUUCGGUAUGUAAAGCUCUAUCAGCAGGGAAGAUAAUGACGGUACCUGACUAAGAAGCCCCGGCUAACUACGUGCCAGCAGCCGCGGUAAUACGUAGGGGGCAAGCGUUAUCCGGAUUUACUGGGUGUAAAGGGAGCGUAGACGGCAAGGCAAGUCUGAUGUGAAAACCCAGGGCUUAACCCUGGGACUGCAUUGGAAACUGUCUGGCUCGAGUGCCGGAGAGGUAAGCGGAAUUCCUAGUGUAGCGGUGAAAUGCGUAGAUAUUAGGAAGAACACCAGUGGCGAAGGCGGCUUACUGGACGGUAACUGACGUUGAGGCUCGAAAGCGUGGGGAGCAAACAGGAUUAGAUACCCUGGUAGUCCACGCCGUAAACGAUGAAUGCUAGGUGUUGGGGAGCAAAGCUCUUCGGUGCCGCCGCAAACGCAUUAAGCAUUCCACCUGGGGAGUACGUUCGCAAGAAUGAAACUCAAAGGAAUUGACGGGGGCCCGCACAAGCAGUGGAGUAUGUGGUUUAAUUCGACGCAACGCGAAGAACCUUACCAAGUCUUGACAUCCCUUGACAGACAUAGAAAUAUGUUUUCUCUCCGGAGCAAGGAGACAGGUGGUGCAUGGUUGUCGUCAGCUCGUGUCGUGAGAUGUUGGGUUAAGUCCCGCAACGAGCGCAACCCUUAUGGUCAGUUACUACGCAAGAGGACUCUGGCCAGACUGCCGUUGACAAAACGGAGGAAGGUGGGGAUGACGUCAAAUCAUUAUGCCCUUUAUGACUUGGGCUACACACGUACUACAAUGGCGUUAAACAAAGAGAAGCAAGACCGCGAGGUGGAGCAAAACUCAGAAACAACGUCCCAGUUCGGACUGCAGGCUGCAACUCGCCUGCACGAAGUCGGAAUUGCUAGUAAUCGUGGAUCAGCAUGCCACGGUGAAUACGUUCCCGGGCCUUGCACUCACCGCCCGUCA